AUCAAUAAUAUAUAUGUGGCAUUGAAGUUGUUAGAAGCUGAUAUUUUACAUCUAAAUAUGUCUCUUUUGUUUGGUUUUUUCUGUGUUUGAUUGUGAAACCCCAUCUAUUAACAUAUCAAAACAGUGUACAAAAAGUGAUAAUACUAGAAUUGGUAUUCUAGUUAUGUAGAGCUUUCUAAUAUUCCAUCUUUCUGAGGCAGAGGGACGUUAUUCUUGGUUUUAUAAUUUUUUCAUUUAAUAUCUCUGGAUAUUUUUCAUAUUUAGUUUGCGUACAACAGUUUACAACUUUAGGCUUAUACAUUAACUUUAGUUAUAACUUAAUUAUUAAUGAUUUGAUUUAUAGAUUUUUAAAGCAAUACAAGAUUGAAUUUAGCAGAAGGCUAAACUUCUACUCUGGAGACAAAAAAGGAAGACAGCGAAAAUGACCAGCCAAAAUAAAGAUUAAAGAAACAAAAAAUUGUGUAUAUUUUGGUGUAGAUGAUUUAUCCUCAAUUUCUUAUAAUUAAACAAAAAAUAUUAUUAAACUUUGGAAUUUACCUGUAACUCUAAACUCUUUACAGAAGUUCAAUGUUUGCUCUGAGAAGUUGAAUGAACAAAAUUUAUUAAAUGAUAAAGUUGUAUCCUUGAAAGAUAUGCUGGUUUUAUUGGCAUAAUGGGCAAGCAUUGAAGUGCAACUUGGUGAACUACAAAACACAUCAAAUUCAGUUAUAAAAAUUUGAGUAACAAAGGUAUGCUAAUUAUUGUAUUGCCUGAACGAGUGUCAUUGCUGUUAAAAGAAGUGAAGAAUUCAAAUACUCUGGAAAAAAAAGACAAGAAAAUACUUAAGUAAAUGGUUAUUUGGCACAAAUUGGAGUUAAAAACGAAGGAGAUUGUAUAUGUUAUUUACUAAGAAUAGUUUUUUAAAACGGCCUAACUGUAAAAUUAAACUAUGCAGAGAGAGGACAAAAAAUUGGAAUUGGAAAAAUGUUGAUUGCAUAUGUUGCUAUUGAAACUGUGAAGUCA